UGGAAAGAACAGAAGUACUCUGAGCUCAGUUCAGGAAAAAACAGAGGAACUUUUGGAUGUUGAAGGAAGGACAGUCAUAGGCUGCAGGAUGUAGAAUGUGGUUAAUGGAGGAGAGACCAGGAAGACAAGACAAAUAAUAAAAGCAAAGACCUUUGGUAAACACCUGGAUGUAGACAGUGGACAAAGGAUAAAAAGAUCUCCCCAGAGGGUUCUCCUCCUACAUGGCAGGCGAUGAAGUUUGACAUCUUGGCUACCAAAGUGCUUUAUAAAACUAUAGAGACUUUGUAUGGCUGGUGGGGCUCCAGAAUUAGAAUAGUAAAUGGAUUUCAAAAAACUGAUGUCCUGCGAUAUAUUGUUAAUUUAAAUGAAUGUUAAAGCACAUACUUUUUUAUUUUUAUUUUUAUUUUUUAUUUUUUCCUAAGGAAAUGUAUUACAUUACCUGGGAAAAAGAAUGGAAUUUGGUGUUAAUGUAGAAAGUGGUGUUGUGCUUGAGUAUAUGAGCCCCUUUCUUUCCUUUUUCUCCUUUUCAUAAAAAUCUUAUUCCUUAGCUUCCCUUAGAAGUUAAAGGGAAAUUGUUGGCUGGGUUUGAUCCAAUCUAUGAUGUCACAGCUACUAGGUUUUAGGGGCUAUUCAACUUGCAAAAUAUUUAAUCCUAAUCUUGAAUACCUUGGGUAUUGGCUAUUUCCUUUCAUGCUUGUAGUCACAUGAACAAAAAUGAGUGUUUUAGGAAAACCAAUGUUAUUUGUCAUAUCAGCUUUUUUGUUAAAUUUGUAUUAAUGCAUUGCACAUAUCCUUCAUGUUGGCCUCAAUGUUGUAGUCUGAUCUGCCAGUGGAGGGUCCUGCACUGAAGAUAGGACACCUUGAGUUUCCUAGAGUCCUGCAUGAGCUCAAAGGGGUAACCGUGUGGUUCAGACAGACAGUGUAGGGUUUGAGGAUUGGUCAUGGGUACAUUUUGAACUGAAGAUCAACUCUUUGUUCUAAUUCAUGUUCUAAACAGACCCAGAACACCUUUGGUAUCUUGUUGCCCAUAGCAGUGGUAAGGUUUUCUACCUAUGGGUGGAAAUUUAGUUCAGCAGUGCCCAGGAACCCUGUGUGUCUACAUGAAAUACCUCAAGAUUUUUCUCUUCUGAAUAAAUAUUACAGAAAGUAUUUGAGGCUGAAAACUGAACCUGCAGGACAAGAUUAUCUAUCUCA